AUGAACGCUAGCGGCAGGCUUAACACAUGCAAGUCGAGGGGCAACACGGGUAGCAAUACCUGGUGGCGACCGGCGCAAGGGUGCGUAACGCGUGAGCAACAUGCCCUAUACAGGGGGAUAAUCCAGGGAAACUUGGUCUAAUAUCCCAUAGUAUUUAGAGGUGGCAUCACCACUAAAUUAAAGCUUCGGUGGUAUAGGAUUGGCUCGCGUGACAUUAGCUGGAUGGUGGGGUAACGGCUCACCAUGGCGAUGAUGUCUAGGGGUUUUGAGAGGAAGACCCCCCACACUGGGACUGAGACACGGCCCAGACUCCUACGGGAGGCAGCAGUGAGGAAUAUUGGACAAUGGAUGGAAAUCUGAUCCAGCCAUGCCGCGUGCAGGAAGACGGCCCUAUGGGUUGUAAACUGCUUUUAUAUGGGAGCAAUAAGGUUUACGCGUAGACCGAUGAGAGUACCAUAUGAAUAAGCAUCGGCUAACUCCGUG
rnacentral:rRNA from 1 species